UGCCAGACUCCUACGGGAGGCAGCAGUGGGGGAUAUUGCACAAUGGGGGAAACCCUGAUGCAGCGACGCCGCGUGGGUGAAGAAGCGCCUCGGCGCGUAAAGCCCUGUCAGCAGGGAAGAAAAUGACGGUACCUGAAGAAGAAGCCCCGGCUAACUACGUGCCAGCAGCCGCGGUAAUACGUAGGGGGCAAGCGUUAUCCGGAUUUACUGGGUGUAAAGGGUGCGUAGGCGGCUUGGCAAGUCAGUAGUGAAAUCCAUGGGCUUAACCCAUGAACUGCUAUUGAAACUGUCGAGCUUGAGUGAAGUAGAGGUAGGCGGAAUUCCCGGUGUAGCGGUGAAAUGCGUAGAGAUCGGGAGGAACACCAGUGGCGAAGGCGGCCUACUGGGCUUUAACUGACGCUGAGGCACGAAAGCGUGGGCAGCAAACAGGAUUAGAUACCCCCGUACG
rnacentral:rRNA from 1 species